UACGUAGGGUGCAAGCGUUGUCCGGAAUUAUUGGGCGUAAAGAGCUCGUAGGCGGUUUGUCGCGUCUGCUGUGAAAACCCGAGGCUCAACCUCGGGCCUGCAGUGGGUACGGGCAAACUAGAGUGCGGUAGGGGAGAAUGGAAUUCCUGGUGUAGCGGUGGAAUGCGCAGAUAUCAGGAAGAACACCCGUGGCUAAGGCGGCUCUCUAGUACGGUACUGACGCUGAGACGCGAAAGCGUGGGGAGCGAACAGG
rnacentral:rRNA from 1 species